UCAAUUCUCACCUCCCUCAGCCCAGUAAUCGGACGCUUUCCACCUCUUUGCCCUCAGUUUCCAUUUCUGUGCAAUGCUGCCUGUCCAGGCUUCCUGUCAGCCUCCCCAACACUUGUGCGAAGCUCAGAGGUGCACGCUCUCGGGAAGUAGUGGGGAGUAGAACCCACUCCCGGCCUGCAUAGACUGGGCCUUGCAGUCUGUUUGUCUGCACCCCACCCCCAUUCUUUUUCCCUUGGUGGGCUUUGUGGAUUCCAUUGCAGUGGGAACAACUGGGCUUUCUACCCUUUGUGCAUCUGGGAGCUUCCACGUGUGCCUUCUGCGGACCAGAGCUGGGUGGAGACUCUCGAGAGGCUGUGGCUGGUGGCCCUGGCACCAUGCAUUUCCCAGAGUUGUAAGGCUCUAGCUGGUACUAGAACUCCAGAGGCUGUUCAACAAAAGCACCUUGUCAAUGGGACACACAGGAAGUAGCAGCGGAAACAGGACGGAAGAUGGCAGAGAACAAGGCAGAUCCAAGGAGACAUACUCUACUCUGAAGUAUGUUCCAUGUUCUCAGGUUCUUCAUCUAGAAAGUGGGAGUGAUCACAUCUACUAGAAGGAAAGAUAUUCGUAGGAAGAGAACUGAGGAGUGCAAAGUACACAUCUGGGUGAGAACACAGGCCAAGCAUCCCAGAAUAGCUUGUCUACAGCCCCAAACACAGUACAGGAUCAGCUGGAUCCAGCCACUCUGCUGGCAUGUACAGAUGGUGAAAGUCACCAUGUGUCCUUCAACAUGAAGAGACUGCAGUCUGACGGAAUUGCACAAGACUGGAAAAGCUUGAGGCAUCAGACGAGACCCAGUGCCAGCCAACCAGCCCAUAGAGACCUUGAACUCAAGUUUCGGACCCAGUUAACCUCUCUCUAUCCUGUGGGCUCAAGGGAACUCUGAGAUGACUCAUCUGUGAGGUGUCAAGCUUCUCCACUGUAUGACUUGAUACACAUCGCGUUUCAACUAAAGAGCACACAACCUCCACAUACAGGCACGGAUUACCAUGCCCAGACCCUUUCCACCGCCCAACCCACCUAACAGGAGCCCUCAGCCUAGGAAGACCACAGUGGGCAGACCCAAGGACAGGGUUAUCUGGGGUGACUCCUUACUUCGGCAGUAAUGUCUUGGUUAGAAUUCAGGGAAAUUAACUUUCCAUAUAAAAUUCAAUUUAAGUAAAUUAUUAGAAGAAGAA